CACCACCUCAACCGCUUCCUGGAGACACACAGCUCCUCUGACGUCACCAUCGGACCUCGUCUCUUCCUGUCCUGUCCCAUGGACGUGGAGGGAUCCAGGGUUUGGUUCACUGACCUUUGGAACUACUCCAUCAUCCCCUACAUGCUGGAGGCCGUACGAGAGGGACUGCAGCUGUAUGGUCGCAGGGCUGCGUGGGAGGACCCUGCUGCUUGGGUGAUUGACACUUACCCGUGGUCAGCCACACCCACUCCAUCUGAUUGGCCCCCGCUGCUGCAGCUCCGC